rnacentral:rRNA from 1 species
UACGAAGGGGGCUAGCGUUGUUCGGAAUUACUGGGCGUAAAGCGUGCGCAGGCGGCUUCUCAAGUCAGGGGUGAAAGCCCAGAGCUCAACUCUGGAAUUGCCUUUGAGACUGAGUGGCUUGAGUACGAGAGAGGUGAGUGGAAUUCCCAGUGUAGAGGUGAAAUUCGUAGAUAUUGGGAAGAACACCGGUGGCGAAGGCGGGUCUCUGGGCCGAUACUGACGCUGAGAAGCGAAAGCGUGGGGAGCGAACAGG